AGGCAGGAAAAUUUGAUAUUAUUCCAACAAUGACUACUAUAGGUUCUGGGAUUGGUAUCUUUGGAGUGGCCUCUGUACUUUGUGAUCUGCUUCUGUUAAAUUUCCUAUCUAAUCGGGACUACUAUAAGCAGAAGAAGUUCAAGUAUGUGGAGCGGCAUUCUAUCAAUUCUGAUAAAGAAGACAUCGCCAUGAGCAACUCACAAGGGAAGGAAAAGAGUUCUCUAUGAAAUUGUAAGUGA